rnacentral:sRNA from 1 species
GCCGGGCGUGGUGGUGCAUGCCUGUAGUCCCAGCUACUUGGGAGGCUGAGGUGGGAAGAUCACUUGAGUCCAGGAAUUUGAGGCUGCAGUGAGCUAUGAUUACACACACCACUGCACUCUAUCCUGAGCAACAGAGUGAGACCCUGACUCAA